GAUGAACGCUAGCGGCAGGCUUAACACAUGCAAGUCGAGGGGUAUAGUUCUUCGGAACUAGAGACCGGCGCACGGGUGCGUAACGCGUAUGCAAUCUACCUUUCACAAAGGGAUAGCCCCAGAGAAAUUUGGAUUAAUACCUUAUAGUAAUACGACUUGGCAUCAAGAUGUAUUUAAAGAUUUAUCGGUGAAAGAUGAGCAUGCGUCCAUUAGCUUGUUGGUAAGGUAACGGCUUACCAAGGCAACGAUGGGUAGGGGUCCUGAGAGGGAGACUCCCCCACACUGGUACUGAGACACGGACCAGACUCCUACGGGAGCAGCAGUGAGGAAUAUUGGACAAUGGGCGCAAGCCUGAUCCAGCCAUGCCGCGUGCAGGAUGACGGUCCUAUGGAUUGUAAACUGCUUUUGUACAGGAAGAAACACACCCUGUGAGGGUACUUGACGGUACUGUAU
rnacentral:rRNA from 1 species